GACGAACGCUGGCGGCGCGCCUAAUACAUGCAAGUCGAACGCACUCUCGUUUAGAUUGAAGGAGUUUGCUCCUGAUUGAUAAACAUUUGAGUGAGUGGCGGACGGGCGAGUAACACGUGGGUAACCUGCCCUAAAGUGGGGGAUAACAUUUGGAAACAGAUGCUAAUACCGCAUAAAACCUAACACCGCAUGGUGUAGGGUUGAAAGAUGGUUUCGGCUAUCACUUUAGGAUGGACCCGCGGUGCAUUAGUUAGUUGGUGAGGUAAAGGCUCACCAAGACCGUGAUGCGUAGCCGACCUGAGAGGGUAAUCGGCCACACUGGGACUGAGACACGGCCCAGACUCCUACGGGAGGCAGCAGUAGGGAAUCUUCCACAAUGGGCGAAAGUCUGAUGGAGCAACGCCGCGUGAGUGAAGAAGGUUUUCGGAUCGUAAAACUCUGUUGUUGGAGAAGAAUGUAUCUGAUAGUAACUGAUCAGGUAGUGACGGUAUCCAACCAGAAAGCCACGGCUAACUACGUG
rnacentral:rRNA from 1 species